GGGUGUGUAGCUCAGUUGGUUAGAGCACUUCACUGAUAAUGAAGAGGUCACAGGUUCGAAUCCUGUCACACCCACCA
rnacentral:tRNA from 1 species